UACACAUAUGCAAAUAUGUGCACAUACAAGGCUGUACAAGCAUGGCACCAACAUCUGCUCAGCCUCUCAAGAGGGCCUCAGGAAGCUUACAAUUGUGGUGAAAGGCCAAGAGGGGCAUGUCACAUGGUGAAAGCAGGAGCAAGGGGCACGGGGAGGUCCCAGACUUUUAAACAACCAGAUCUCCUGUGAACUACCUGAGCAAGAGCUCACUUAUCACCAAAAGGAUGGUGCUAAACCAUUCGUGAAAGAUCCACCUCCAUAAUCCAGUCACCUCGCCCCAGGCCCUACCUCUAACAAUGGAAAUCACAUUUCAACCUGAGAUUUGGAGGAGACAAACAUCCGAACUAUAUUAGCCAUUAUGACUAAAACGGCUAUAAACGUUUGAGUACAGGUUUUUGUGUGGAUUUAAGUGUUCAACUCAUUUGGAAAGAUACCAAGGAGUGCAAUUACUGGAUCGUAUGAAAAUUUUGGCCGGGCACAGUGGCUCACUACUAUAAUCCCAGCACUUUGGGAGGACGAGGUGGGCCGAUCACCUGAGGUGGGGAGUCCGAGACCAGCCUGAUUGACAUGGAGAAACUCUGUCUCUUUUAAAAU
rnacentral:lncRNA from 1 species